rnacentral:rRNA from 1 species
GACGGUAGGGCGCGAGCGUUGUCCGGAAUUAUUGGGCGUAAAGAGCUCGUAGGCGGCUUGUCGCGUCGACUGUGAAAACCUGCAGCUCAACUGUGGGCUUGCAGUCGAUACGGGCAGGCUAGAGUUCGGUAGGGGAGACUGGAAUUCCUGGUGUAGCGGUGAAAUGCGCAGAUAUCAGGAGGAACACCCGUAGCGAAGGCGGCACUCUGGGCCGAUACUGACACUGAGGAGCGAAAGCGUGGGGAGCGAACAGG